rnacentral:rRNA from 1 species
UAGCCGUAAACGAUACUCGCUAGGUGUCGGCCACGGUGCGACCGUUGUCGGUGCCGUAGGGAAGCCGUGAAGCGAGCCACCUGGGAAGUACGGUCGCAAGGCUGAAACUUAAAGGAAUUGGCGGGGGAGCACAACAACGGGUGGAGCUUGCGGUUUAAUUGGAUUCAACGCCGGAAAUCUUACCGGGACCGACAGCAACAUGAUGGCCAGGUUGAUGACCUUGCUUGACAAGCUGAGAGGAGGUGCAUGGCGUGUGACUGU